AUUGAACGCUGGCGGCAGGCCUAACACAUGCCAGUCGAGCGGAUGAAGGGAGCUUGCUCCUGGAUUCAGCGGCGGACGGGUGAGUAAUGCCUAGGAAUCUGCCUGGUAGUGGGGGAUAACGUCCGGAAACGGGCGCUAAUACCGCAUACGUCCUGAGGGAGAAAGGGGGGGAUCUUCGGACCUCACGCUAUCAGAUGAGCCUAGGUCGGAUUAGCUAGUUGGUGGGGUAAAGGCCUACAAAGGCGACGAUCCGUAACUGGUCUGAGAGGAUGAUCAGUCACACGGAAACUGAGACACGGUCCAGACCCCUACGGGAGGCAGCAGUGGGGAAUAUUGGACAAGGGGCGAAAGCCUGACCCAGCCAUGCCGCGGGUGUGAAGAAGGUCUUCGGAUUGUAAAGCACUUUAAGUUGGGAGGAAGGGCAGUAAGUUAAUACCUUGCUGUUUUGACGUUACCAACAGAAUAAGCACCGGUAAACUCCGU
rnacentral:rRNA from 1 species